GACAGCAGCAGCCACGGUAAUACGAAGGGUGCAAGCGUUAAUCGGAAUUACUGGGCGUAAAGCGUGCGUAGGCGGUUUGUUAAGUCUGCUGUGAAAUCCCCGGGCUCAACCUGGGAAUGGCAGUGGAUACUGGCAAGCUAGAGUGUGUCAGAGGAUGGUGGAAUUCCCGGUGUAGCGGUGAAAUGCGUAGAGAUCGGGAGGAACAUCAAUGGCGAAGGCGGCCAUCUGGGACAACACUGACGCUGAGGCACGAAAGCGUGGGGAGCAAACAGGAUUAGAUACCCCUGUAGUCCCUGUCUCUUAUAC
rnacentral:rRNA from 1 species